rnacentral:rRNA from 1 species
CCAAUAGCGUAUAUUAAAGUUGUUGCAGUUAAAAAGCUCGUAGUUGAACUUCGGGGUUUACCCAUUGGUCAGGCUUAAUUGUCUGUACUGGUGAGAUAAAUCUCUACCUUCUGAGGAACUUUCAUGUCAUUAAUUUGGUGUGAUUGGAAAUCAGGACUGUUACUUUGAAAAAAUUAGAGUGUUUUAAGCAGGCUAACGUCUGAAUACAUUAGCAUGGAAUAAUGAAAUAGGACGGACUGAUUCUAUUUCGUUGGUUUCUAGGAUCACCGUAAUGAUUAAUAGGGAUAGUUGGGGGCAUUAGUAUUCAAUUGUCAGAGGUGAAAUUCUUGGAUUUAUUGAAGACUAACUACUGCGAAAGCAUUUGCCAAGGAUGUUUUCAUUAAUCAAGAACGAAAGUUAGGGGAUCGAAGACGAUCAGAUACCGUCGUAGUCUUAACCAUAAACUAUGCCGACUAGGGAUCGGACGAAGUUAAUUUUAUAAUGACGCGUUCGGCACCUUACG